rnacentral:rRNA from 1 species
AUUGAACGCUGGCGGCAGGCCUAACACAUGCAAGUCGAAUGGUAACAGGAAACAGCUUGCUGUUUCGCUGACGAGUGGCGGACGGGUGAGUAAUGUCUGGGAAACUGCCUGAUGGAGGGGGAUAACUACUGGAAACGGUAGCUAAUACCGCAUAACGUCGCAAGACCAAAGAGGGGGACCUUCGGGCCUCUUGCCAUCAGAUGUGCCCAGAUGGGAUUAGCUAGUAGGUGGGGUAACGGCUCACCUAGGCGACGAUCCCUAGCUGGUCUGAGAGGAUGACCAGCCACACUGGAACUGGGACACGGUCCAGACUCCUACGGGAGGAAGCAGUGGGGAAUAUUGCACAAUGGGAGCAAGCAUGAUGCAGCCAUGCCGCGUGUAUGAAGAAGACCUUCGAGUUGUAAAGUACUUUCAGCGGGGAGGAAGGGAGUAAAGUUAAUACCUAUGCUCAUUGACGUUACCCGCAGAAGAAGCACCGGCUAACUCCGUG